GCCCGAGUGGCGGAAUUGGCAGACGCGCACGCUUCAGGUGCGUGUGUUCGUAAGAAUAUGGGAGUUCGAAUCUCCCCCCGGGCA
rnacentral:tRNA from 1 species